CUGUGAUGCCCUUAGAUGUUCUGGGCCGCACGCGCGCUACACUGAUUAAUCCAACGAGUCCGCUUCAAUCGAGGCGUGGUGGCUUGGUGCGGGUCAAACCCGUGCCGUGCCAUCGNUGUCCUCGAUCGCNCCUGGGCCGAUAGGUCCGGGUAAUCUUUGCAAAUUUAAUCGUGCUGGGGAUAGAUCAUUGUAAUUAUUGAUCUUCAACGAGGAAUUCCUAGUAAGCGCGAGUCAUC
rnacentral:rRNA from 1 species